UCCAACUGAAUCCCUUUAUAGAGCCACCCAUCUGUAACUCCUCCCCUGGGACUCAACCAAGAUUACUAAAACCCCAUUCAUAAGUUACCAUACAAAUAUACUUUACCAUUAAAUAUCAAUAACUAGUAUAAACAUUAAAAUUCAAAUCUUGCAGAAAUUAUUGCCCAAACCCAUAACUAAAUAGCAUGUGGCUUAGUUUACAUAAUAACUACUCCCCCCUGCUACUACUGGGUGCAUCCAAAGGUCCAGCUAUUAACAGCAAUACGGUAAAUAAAACUCAAAGUGCCCGCAUUACAUCACUUUUGGUAACCCGAAGUUAUAUUAGUCUCCGCCCACAAAAUGGCGCCUUCUAUCUCCACCCUUCUGCUGAAUGACUCACCAUGCAGCCAACCAAGAGCUACAGCAUCGGAGGACAACGCAGCUCUCGGGCAGCUUACAAGCAAACCCACAGGUGCCUGCCAGACUAUAGGGGUCACUGGUGCGUGGUGAGGCGAGGACACCCUGGCCGACUGAAACCCCCCGGUGAUGCCCAGCCAAUUGUGCGCCGCCCCCUGGGAGCUCCUGUCCACAGUGGCUGUGGAAUAGCCUGGACUUGAACUGGCGAUGUCCAGGAUAUAGAGUGCAUCCUGCACUCCACGUGGAGCGCCUUUACCGGAUGCGCCACUCGGGAGCCCCUUUCGGAUGCUUUUUUUAAAAAAGCUUUCUUCUUUGAACAGUUAAGACUCUGGAAUGUUUGCCUGCCCCAUACUGCCAACAUUCUCUCCGUGUCCGAACAGUAAAACAAGUCAUCUAAGUUAGCACAGACUGUCAGGUCUAUUAUUAUUAUUAUUAUUAUUAUUAUUAUUUUUGCAUAAUGUACUUCAAAGUGGUCUUUUGUAAUUUGUGUUUUUCUUAAUCUGCAUUGGUUGUGGGUGUAUUCGGCCUGGUCCGACAUAGGACCGCAAAGGGUUAACAAUACUGGUUCAGGCAGUGUUGUAAAAUUCGAGUUGGAAAGAAAACGGCAAAAAAAAAAAUCAAAAACAAAAAGGACAGAGGGACAGAUGACACAGUUAGUUUGUAGCUAGAGCAAGUACAGUUUUUCGACCAUAUAUACCAUACAGAUAUGCUUUAAAAUCAUACAUAGGGUAAGAAAUACAGACAAACAUAAGAAAUAGGAGAGUUGUAACUGCAUAAGACUUAUAAGUCGUAGUUAAACUGAAGACUGUUUGUAUGCAGCUGUAUUGUUGCUGAACAUAUUGCUGUACAACAAUGGAAGGAUUAUCCACCCGUUUGACUGCCAUGGAUGUAAGUAAAUAAAACAUAUUGUUUCUGAAGUUUGAAAA